AGAGUUUGAUCAUGGCUCAGAUUGAACGCUGGCGGUAUGCUUAACACAUGCAAGUCGAACGGAAACGAUACUAGCUUGCUAGUAGUCGUCGAGUGGCGGACGGGUGAGUAACGCGUAGGAAUCUGCCUGAUAGUGGGGGAUAGCCCGGAGAAAUUCGGAUUAAUACCGCAUAAUCUAUUCGUAGUAAAGUGGGGGACUUUCGAGCCUCACGCUAUCAGAUGAGCCUGCGUAAGAUUAGCUUGUUGGUGGGGUAAAGGCCUACCAAGGCUACGAUCUUUAGCUGGUCUGAGAGGAUGAUCAGCCACAUCGGGACUGAGACACGGCCCGAACUCCUACGGGAGGCAGCAGUGGGGAAUAUUGGACAAUGGGGGCAACCCUGAUCCAGCAAUACCGCGUGUGUGAAGAAGGCCUGAGGGUUGUAAAGCACUUUCAAUUGUGAAGAAAAGUUAACGGUUAAUAUCCGUUGACCUUGACGUUAACUUUAGAAGAAGCACCGGCUAACUCCGUGCCAGCAGCCGCGGUAAUACGGAGGGUGCAAGCGUUAAUCGGAAUUACUGGGCGUAAAGCGUGCGUAGGCGGNUUAUCAAGUCAGAUGGGAAAUCCC
rnacentral:rRNA from 1 species